ensembl:miRNA gmo-mir-129-1 gmo-mir-129-1
UCUUUUUGCGGUCUGGGCUUGCUGUUCAUAACUAAUAAGCUGGGAAGCCCUUACCCCAAAAAGCAU